rnacentral:rRNA from 1 species
UACGUAGGGUGCAAGCGUUGUCCGGAAUUAUUGGGCGUAAAGAGCUCGUAGGCGGUCUGUCGCGUCGGCUGUGAAAUCCCGAGGCUCAGCCUCGGGUCUGCAGUCGAUACGGGCAAACUAGAGUAUUGCAGGGGAGACUGGAAUUCCUGGUGUAGCGGUGAAAUGCGCAGAUAUCAGGAGGAACACCGGUGGCGAAGGCGGGUCUCUGGGCAAUAACUGACGCUGAGGAGCGAAAGCGUGGGGAGCGAACAGG